rnacentral:rRNA from 1 species
UACAGAGGUCUCAAGCGUUGUUCGGAAUCAUUGGGCGUAAAGGGUGUGUAGGUGGCUAUGUAAGUCAGGUGUGAAAGCCCCGGGCUCAACCCGGGAAGUGCAUCUGAUACUGCGUAGCUUGAGUACCGAAGAGGAUAGUGGAAUUCCAGGUGUAGUGGUGAAAUACGUAGAUAUCUGGGAGGAACACCGGUGGCGAAGGGCGGCUAUCUGGUCGAGUACUGACACUGAGACACGAAAGCAUGGGGGAUCAAACAGG